ACGACGCUGGCGGCGUGCCUAAUACAUGCAAGUCGAACGGUCUUUCUAUGGAAGCUUGCUUCCACUGAGAAGAUAGUGGCGAACGGGUGAGUAACACGUGGGUAACCUGCCCAUAAGAGGGGGAUAACAUCCGGAAACGGGUGCUAAUACCGCAUAGUUUUCUUGAUCGCAUGAUUGAGAAAGGAAAGACGGCCUUUGUGCUGUCGCUUAUGGAUGGACCCGCGGCGUAUUAGUUAGUUGGUGAGGUAAUGGCUCACCAAGACGAUGAUACGUAGCCGACCUGAGAGGGUGAUCGGCCACAUUGGGACUGAGACACGGCCCAAACUCCUACGGGAGGCAGCAGUAGGGAAUCUUCCGCAAUGGACGAAAGUCUGACGGAGCAACGCCGCGUGAGUGAAGAAGGUUUUUCCGGAUCGUAAAACUCUGUUGUCAGAGAAGAACAAGUUGGAGAGUAACUGCUCCAGCCUUGACGGUAUCUGACCAGAAAGCCACGGCUAACUACGUGCCAGCAGCCGC
rnacentral:rRNA from 1 species